rnacentral:misc_RNA from 1 species
GGAUCACUCCUCCGCCUCAGUUGUCACCACAAGUGGGAGAUAUUCCACGGAGCAGCUUCCAUUUUGAUUUUGAGCUUGAGCGAAAAAUUUUAGCUGAAGCAGAGAAGGAAAGCCUGAACUGGAGCAAGUUUGGGCUGGAAAAUCUUCCAUCUAAAACAACAGAAUCAACUUCCUCAUUGGGUUCAGCUGUAGACCCUGUAGUGAGAAAAUACAUUUCAUCAGGACUCAACUGUGAAGCUGUUCCUCAUGCUGUUGCUAACUAUGGGGACAAUCCAACUAAGGUUCAAGAAUUUGUCAAUGGCUACAACCUUUUAAGAGAAAUGGGAUUUGAAACGAGCAAUGUAGUUGAAGCUUUACUCAUGUAUGACAAUGACACACAAAAGGCAUUGGCACGUUUUCUUAACACCUCAUCCUGAACAUAUUGGAAGCGCAUGGCUGAAUUGUCAAAGUGGUGGUAUAUACUAUACGAGUGUAGUCUGGUUUUAUUCUCAUUGUAAAAUUAUGUGGAACAGGCUUGCAUUUACAUUUUGCUUACAUGUAAUAUUACUUUAAUUGUAAACAUCCCCCCAAAAUUUAUGCAUCAGUUAUUUCUGUUUUGGUGCAACAAUGGUUGAUACGGACAACUUUGACAAUUCAGC